rnacentral:tRNA from 1 species
CCCGCCAUAGUUUACGAUAAAACAUCGACCUGCAAAAUCGAAGAUGGAAUUGAAUUCUUGGUGUGU